CUAUUUUCAAAAAUUCAUUCAAUAUAGUUUAUAAAAGUCCUACACCUACAGGAUGCUGCUAAUUGUUUCGGUAUGGUGUAAUCUGGGACAAUUGAAAAAAUGUGUUUUGGUUGAGUUUUGCGGUGCGCCAACUCUAUAGUAGUGUACUAGCAAAUAUGCGAAAUUUUAUGAAUCUCUAGUCUUGAUUAUGUUUUUUAAAUCAUGCAAUGUGAAUUUGUUCAUUCUAAAUUACAUUUACAGGAAAUGGAAGCUCUUAAUGUAGUAAAAGCAAAAUACCCCAACUUUGCUAAAUUUAUCAGCUCUUAUACUUCUGUCCAAAUUAGAACUACAAAUUACAAGUUAUUUAAGAAUUUAAGUAAUCCGGAUUAUUGGAAAAAUAAGGUGGCCAUCUUCAAGUGCAAAAAAAAGGAUUUUAAACAAUUUAUAUUAUUGUACAGGAAGUCUGAAUUCUAAAGCUAAAGAAGUACAAGUUUGGCUUUCCAGAUCCAAAAGAUAGCUUUUAUUAAAAAAAUAAAUACCUUGCAAAAAGUUGUUAUAGCAUUCCUUGAAUUUAAACGUACCCAUUAAGAUAUUAAACUUCUUUCAUUUGCUUGUGAAUA